rnacentral:rRNA from 1 species
GGUUAAGCGACUAAGCGUACACGGUGGAUGCCCUGGCAGUCAGAGGCGAUGAAGGACGUGCUAAUCUGCGAUAAGCGUCGGUAAGGUGAUAUGAACCGUUAUAACCGGCGAUUUCCGAAUGGGGAAACCCAGUGUGAUUCGUCACACUAUCAUUGCGUGAAUACAUAGCGUAAUGAAGCGAACCGGGGGAACUGAAACAUCUAAGUACCCCGAGGAAAAGAAAUCAACCGAGAUUCCCCCAGUAGCGGCGAGCGAACGGGGAGCAGCCCAGAGUCUGAAUCAGCUUGUGUGUUAGUGGAACGGUCUGGAAAGUCCGACGGUACAGGGUGAUAGUCCCGUACACCAAAAUGCACAGGUUGUGAACUCGAAGAGUAGGGCGGGACACGUGGUAUCCUGUCUGAAUAUGGGGGGGACCAUCCUCCAAGGCUAAAUACUCCUGACUGACCGAUAGUGAACCAGUACCGUGAGGGAAAGGCGAAAAGAACCCCGGCGAGGGGAGUGAAAAAGAACCUGAAACCGUGUACGUACAAGCAGUGGGAGCCUACUUGUUAGGUGACUGCGUACCUUUUGUAUAAUGGGUCAGCGACUUAUAUUCUGUAGCAAGGUUAACCGUAUAGGGGAGCCGAAGGGAAACCGAGUCUUAACUGGGCGUUAAGUUGCAGGGUAUAGACCCGAAACCCGGUGAUCUAGCCAUGGGCAGGUUGAAGGUUGGGUAACACUAACUGGAGGACCGAACCGACUAAUGUUGAAAAAUUAGCGGAUGACUUGUGGCUGGGGGUGAAAGGCCAAUCAAACCGGGAGAUAGCUGGUUCUCCCCGAAAGCUAUUUAGGUAGCGCCUCGUGAAUUCAUCUUCGGGGGUAGAGCACUGUUUCGGCUAGGGGGUCAUCCCGACUUACCAACCCGAUGCAAACUGCGAAUACCGAAGAAUGUUAUCACGGGAGACACACGGCGGGUGCUAACGUCCGUCGUGAAGAGGGAAACAACCCAGACCGCCAGCUAAGGUCCCAAAGUCAUGGUUAAGUGGGAAACGAUGUGGGAAGGCACAGACAGCCAGGAUGUUGGCUUAGAAGCAGCCAUCAUUUAAAGAAAGCGUAAUAGCUCACUGGUCGAGUCGGCCUGCGCGGAAGAUGUAACGGGGCUAAACCAUGCACCGAAGCUGCGGCAGCGACACUAUGUGUUGUUGGGUAGGGGAGCGUUCUGUAAGCCGUUGAAGGUGGCCUGUGAGGGUUGCUGGAGGUAUCAGAAGUGCGAAUGCUGACAUAAGUAACGAUAAUGCGGGUGAAAAACCCGCACGCCGGAAGACCAAGGGUUCCUGUCCAACGUUAAUCGGGGCAGGGUGAGUCGACCCCUAAGGCGAGGCCGAAAGGCGUAGUCGAUGGGAAACAGGUUAAUAUUCCUGUACUUGGUGUUACUGCGAAGGGGGGACGGAGAAGGCUAUGUUAGCCGGGCGACGGUUGUCCCGGUUUAAGCAUGUAGGCGGAGGUUCCAGGUAAAUCCGGUACCUUUUUAACGCUGAGGUGUGAUGACGAGGCACUACGGUGCUGAAGUAACAAAUGCCCUGCUUCCAGGAAAAGCCUCUAAGCAUCAGGUAACACGAAAUCGUACCCCAAACCGACACAGGUGGUCAGGUAGAGAAUACCAAGGCGCUUGAGAGAACUCGGGUGAAGGAACUAGGCAAAAUGGUGCCGUAACUUCGGGAGAAGGCACGCUGAUAUGUAGGUGAAGUGAUUUACUCAUGGAGCUGAAAUCAGUCGAAGAUACCAGCUGGCUGCAACUGUUUAUUAAAAACACAGCACUGUGCAAACACGAAAGUGGACGUAUACGGUGUGACGCCUGCCCGGUGCCGGAAGGUUAAUUGAUGGGGUUAUCCGUAAGGAGAAGCUCUUGAUCGAAGCCCCGGUAAACGGCGGCCGUAACUAUAACGGUCCUAAGGUAGCGAAAUUCCUUGUCGGGUAAGUUCCGACCUGCACGAAUGGCGUAAUGAUGGCCGGGCUGUCUCCACCCGAGACUCAGUGAAAUUGAACUCGCUGUGAAGAUGCAGUGUACCCGCGGCAAGACGGAAAGACCCCGUGAACCUUUACUAUAGCUUGACACUGAACACUGGUCCUUGAUGUGUAGGAUAGGUGGGAGGCUUUGAAGUGUGGACGCCAGUCUGCAUGGAGCCAUCCUUGAAAUACCACCCUUUAAUGGCUGGUGUUCUAACGUGGACCCGUUACCCGGGUUGCGGACAGUGUCUGGUGGGUAGUUUGACUGGGGCGGUCUCCUCCUAAAGAGUAACGGAGGAGCACGAAGGUUAGCUAAUCCUGGUCGGACAUCAGGAGGUUAGUGCAAAGGCAUAAGCUAGCUUGACUGCGAGAGUGACGGCUCGAGCAGGUGCGAAAGCAGGUCUUAGUGAUCCGGUGGUUCUGAAUGGAAGGGCCAUCGCUCAACGGAUAAAAGGUACUCCGGGGAUAACAGGCUGAUACCGCCCAAGAGUUCAUAUCGACGGCGGUGUUUGGCACCUCGAUGUCGGCUCAUCACAUCCUGGGGCUGAAGUAGGUCCCAAGGGUAUGGCUGUUCGCCAUUUAAAGUGGUACGCGAGCUGGGUUUAGAACGUCGUGAGACAGUUCGGUCCCUAUCUGCCGUGGGCGCUGGAGAAUUGAGGGGGGCUGCUCCUAGUACGAGAGGACCGGAGUGGACGCAUCACUGGUGUUCGGGUUGUCAUGCCAAUGGCAUUGCCCGGUAGCUAAAUGCGGAAGAGAUAAGUGCUGAAAGCAUCUAAGCACGAAACUUGCCCCGAGAUGAGUUCUCCCUGAGACUAUAAGUCUCCUGAAGGAACGUUGAAGACGACGACGUUGAUAGGUCGGGUGUGUAAGUGUAGCGAUACAUUGAGCUAACCGAUACUAAUGAACCGUGAGGCUUAACCUU